rnacentral:RNase_P_RNA from 1 species
CCAGGCGGCUGGAUGACCGCUGGCUCACGCGCGAGCGCGGGCUGGAGGAAAGUCCGGGCUCCACGGAAAGACGGUGCCGGCUAAAGGCCGCCGGGACGGGCAACCGCUUCAGGGAAAGUGCCACAGAAAACAAACCGCCGGCGGUUCGCUGCCGGCAAGGGUGAAACGGUGCGGCAAGAGCGCACCGCGCUUCCAGCAAUGGCGGCGGCAGGGCAAACCCCACCGGGAGCAAGGCCUAAUAGGGGUGCUGGCGGCCACCGUUACGUGAGCCGCAGGGGUUUUUCGCCCUGCAACCCGGGUUGGCCGCGAGAGGCGGGCCGUGAGGCCCGUCCCAGAGGAAUGGUCAUCCAGGUGGCGCAAGCUGCUGGACAGAACCCGGCUUACAGGCCGCCUGGCGAU